CAAACAAACCAAAUAGAAGUGACAGUAUAGAGAAUGUAAAGUUAU
rnacentral:guide_RNA from 1 species